rnacentral:rRNA from 1 species
UACGGGGGGGGCAAGCGUUGUUCGGAAUUACUGGGCGUAAAGGGCUCGUAGGCGGCCAACUAAGUCAUACGUGAAAUCCCUCGGCUUAACCGGGGAACUGCGUCUGAUACUGGAUGGCUUGAGUUCGGGAGAGGGAUGCGGAAUUCCAGGUGUAGCGGUGAAAUGCGUAGAUAUUGGGAAGAACACCGGCGGCGAAGGCGGCUAUCUGGACCGACAUUGACGCUGAGGCGCGAAAGCGUGGGGAUCAAACAGG